AAGGAAGCAGGAGCAACAGCAGCAGCAGCAGCAGCAUAGCAGCUGGUGACCUGGUUAGGAUUCUCUGUUCCACUUUGUGCGAGGAUUUUGCUUGAAAAUAAACGGCUCACAUGGUGGAAGGAGAGAACCAAGUCAUGUGGGCUGUUGGUCCUCAUCUACACACGUUAGUUUGUGUGCCUGAGCAGGCUGUCCCUGUUACAAAUGAAGUCAUGAUGAGUUCUCUGUAGUCAUAUUGUCUUCGGAGUCAGCUGGGAUGCCUGGAUGAUUCAUUUCCAGACUCAGCAUCUUGAGGUCAACAAGCCCAUGAACUUUAAACUUCUGCAGCUCUGUUAAACUCAUUUUAAAAUCAAGGCUGCUUCUAACUGUGGAUCAAGAAUGUUUAAUUGUGGCCCAGGCUGACCUCAAACUUACUAUACAGUCAAGGAUAACCUUGAACUUGUGAUCUUUCUUUCUCCACCUAUCACUGAUGGGGUUACAGAUUAGCUACCACGGUUGGUUUAUACAGGGCUGGGGAUUGAACUCAAGGCUUUGUGCACAUUAGACAAACACUCUACCAACUGAGCCACACCCCCAGUCCAUGAAUGUUUGAAAAAAGUAUUUAAAAGGCUGGAGCUAAUGGAAGAAGCGCAAGUAUAUGGCAAAGGGACAUCUCAGAUGUCACCAGUGUCUGUGGAAGCUGGUGAUAAGCAUUUUGGCCCUUUCCUUUCCUUUCCUUUCCCUCCCUCCCUCGCUUCCUUCCUUCCUUCCUUCCUUCUUUCCUUCCUUCCUUCAGGUUUUUGGUUGGUUGUUUGUUGAUACAGGGUGUAGCUCUAUAGCCAAGCUGUAAUAUCCCAGGCAAACUGAACUUGCAAUCUCCCUGCCUCAGCUUCCCGAGUGCUAAGAUCAGCUGGCAUGAACUACUAGGCCCAUCUCAUGGCACUGUCUGUUUCUAGAAAACUCUCUUAUAGAAAUGCUCACACAAGCCAGGCGGUGGUGGCGCACACCUUUAAUCCCAGCACUCGGGAGGUAGAGGCAGGCAGAUCUCUGUGAGUUCGAGACUGGCCUGGUCUACAAGAGCUAGUUCCAGGACAGCCUCCAAAGCAAUACAGAGAAACCCUGUCUUGGAAAAUCCAAAACAAACAAACAGAAAGAAAUGCUCACACAAGUGGUCAAGACAUGUGUAGUGAUAAAAGCAGGUACGAUGUAGAAGGCACCCGCUCAGCUUUAUAGAUUCAAAACCAUCUCAUCUCGUGGCACUCUGGGGCAGGGGCUACCAGCUCAGUUUUACAGACAGAGAACCUUGAAGCGCACAGGGUAAAACUAGCCAACUGCAAGAAACAACGACACUGACCACUCAACAGUAGUCUGCACUUUGCAGUGACAAAUACAGUUUUGAAAUGAUGUUUAAAAAAAGUUUUAGCCGGGUGGUGUUGGUACACACCUUUACUCCUGGAACUCACAAGGCAGAGGCCAGCCUGAUCUACAGAGUGACUUCUAGGACAGGCAAGGCUAUCCAGAGAAACCCUGUGUCGAAAGACAAACAAACAAAAGCAAAACCCCCAAAGCAAAUCAAAUACUAUGCUGUAGAAAGCAAUGCAGCCAUGACAAAGAAUGAAAUAAAUCUAUAGAGCAACA